rnacentral:rRNA from 1 species
GGAGGAAAGUAGGGGAUCGUAAGACCUUGCGCUUUUGGAGUGGCCGAUGCCUGAUUAGCUAGUUGGUGGGGUAAGAGCCUACCAAGGCGACGACCAGUAGUUGGUCUGAGAGGACGACCAGCCACACUGGGACUGAGACACGGCCCAGACUCCUACGGGAGGCAGCAGUGGGGAAUUUUGGACAAUGGGCGAAAGCCUGAUCCAGCAAUGCCGCGUGAGUGAAGAAGGCCUUCGGGUUGUAAAGCUCUUUCAGUCGAGAAGAAAAGGUCGCGACUAAUAAUCGCGACUCAUGACGGUAUCGACAGAAGAAGCACCGGCUAACUACGUGCCAGCAGCCGCGGUAAUACGUAGGGUGCGAGCGUUAAUCGGAAUUACUGGGCGUAAAGGGUGCGCAGGCGGCUUUGUAAGUCAGAUGUGAAAUCCCCGGGCUUAACCUGGGAAUUGCGUUUGAAACUACAAAGCUAGA